rnacentral:rRNA from 1 species
UACGUAGGGUGCAAGCGUUAAUCGGAAUUACUGGGCGUAAAGCGUGCGCAGGCGGUUCUAUAAGACAGAUGUGAAAUCCCCGGGCUCAACCUGGGAACUGCAUUUGUGACUGUAGAGCUGGAGUAUGGCAGAGGGGGAUGGAAUUCCGCGUGUAGCAGUGAAAUGCGUAGAUAUGCGGAGGAACACCGAUGGCGAAGGCAAUCCCCUGGGCCUGUACUGACGCUCAUGCACGAAAGCGUGGGGAGCAAACAGG